rnacentral:lncRNA from 1 species
UUUUUUUGAGACAGGUUUCAAAUCCUUCUGUAAGCACUUAACUAAAGGGGGUGACUAGAUCUCAGUCGAUUUAACCAAGUCCCAGUCAAGUGACAUAAUAUGCAAGAGAGAAAAGAAAAAAAACAAAUUAUUUUUUACGAAUCUUAAUGUAGGAUCUCACGGAUAUAGCAUCGACUGAGACUUAACAAAGUUUCGGUCGACUAAGACUUAGCAAGACUGUUAACUGAAAGUCUGCUAUGAUCUGCCCCCUCUGCAGUUGGAACCACGCGCUCCCUCGCUAACCUCAGCAUUAAGCCGUUAGGUUCCAUUUGCGUGUAAACAUGUACGGCCAUACAAGUCUUAUUAAAAUGUUAUCAAGUAACCACCCCCACUGAACGCCAUUUUCCUAAGAGUGAUAGUGAUACUGCUUGCCAGAAAUUACUAUCUCCCACUCUCACACGGUUUACGCUAGCUGCAAGAUACUACUCCCUCCGUAAACUAAUAUAAAAACAUUUAGAUCAUUAUUUUAGUUAUCUAAACACUAUUAUAUUAGUUUACAGAGGGAGUACUAGAAAGGACACGAGGAUAUUCGUGGAGAAGAGUGACAAGAGCUCUCGUGAUUCUCGUUUCGACGCAUUGCGACGACGUAACGCGCUGUACGAACUUGAUGUAGUUUAUCCGCUUGCUCGCCCAUCUCUUGUGAUUGGGGUGGUAAUUAUUGUAAAGUGCGUCCGUCGGGGGCUCGUAUUUUCAAUAAAAGAUUGCGACCGCGACCGGGUUUUGGUUGUCUUGUCAGAGCAGCUCUCAUGUGCGGCGUGAAUAAAACAGGGACCGUGUGUUGCGUAUGUGGAAGGAUUCGGAGUCCUGUGCUCAGCAGCAGCAGCAGCAGCAGCAGCACAAAACAUACAGCGGCAGCAGCAGUAUUCAUUCAUUCAGCAGGCAGGAGGUCAGCACAAAACAGCAGCAGCAGUUCGGCAGCAUUAAGCAGAGAUUCAACACAAAACAGCAGCAGCAUUAAGCAGCAAUUUAUUAUAUAGCCCAAAACAGCAGCUACAUUAAGCAGCAACAGAGCACAAAACAGCAGGAGCCGGUGCCCAGAUUUACAGCAGACUGUGUGUGAUGGAAGUGGAACAAGGCCUUUUCUCAUCUCGCUAUCACAUGAACACCACGGUGUGUGUGCGCCACCAACAACGACCGCUGGGCGACUCGGGCGCCGCCAUCAACCCUAGCCUAGUCGGGCCUUCCUCCUCCCCGCCGCCGCCGCCGCCGCCGCCGCCGGAGGACGCCGCCGGGCAAAGUCUGCGCGGCCGACGGUGGCGGCGGGGGCUUCCUCUCGUGACGGCCUCUUGCCUCUGUUGGGCAGCGGAUCCGGAGGCAUGUCGGCGCGCGUUGGGACCAUGGGUCUCCAGCGACCGGCGGCUGAGCGCGGCGUCCGCUUGAGGGGCGUGCGCGGCGGCUAUCGGCGGCGUGGCAUCCGCUGCGUCGGGGGUGAGCGGUUGGGGCUGCAGCGUUUGCUAAAUUUGGGCACGACCCAGAUUGGAUGACGUUGUGGUUCUCCAACUUGGGCGGAUGCAUGGCUGGUUGGCUACGUCAUGGGCUCAGCCCUCAUGGCGUUGAUCGUUCCAGCGGCCAGCGAGGACUGGAUCCCGGGGCGGCGGCCUCGGACGGCGGAGGAUGCGGCUGUGGUCUCGCGACGGCCGACAUGGCGGCUGGAUCUUCGCGGCCAGGCGGGGCGUGCUGGCGCGGGGAGGCCGUGGUGAGCUUCUCGGUCCAGAUCUGGAUCGGGGGCUCCUCCGGCCUGCUGCAUGGGCGGCGCGUCCCGUCGGCGGCGGCUGGAUCCCGGGGCGGCGGUCCUGGAAGGUGGUGGCUGGUGAAGCUCAGGCUUCCCCCGGCGGCAUGGCGUGGUGCAGUCCAUAUCCAAGGCGGAUCUGCAUCGGCGAUAUCAUGGUUUGGCCAUGGUUCAGAUCAGAGACGGUGAUGAGUGUGCGGGAUUCAUCCCGGCGGCUCUCGCGGUUUGGCGAGGUGGGGUGGGAGCCCUCCUCCCAGGCUCCAGUGGUGGCGCAUUCAGGCAGUGGCUGGUGCGCCAGGGCUCCUAUGGUGGCACUGCUGUUGUGGUUGGUCGCCGGAUCUAGGCGGCUAGAUCUGGGGCUUUGAAGACGGUCGAGACAUUUCACAUGUUGUCGGGUGGAUUUCUUGGAACGGAUCCGGGUGAAAACUUGGUCUUCGGUCAUUGGCCGGAGCCGGUGAUGACGAUACUCUUAUCAUCGUUUCCUUCAUGAAGGCAUCAUCGAGGUGAAGUUCCCAACCCCACCCAAUACAUCCGGGGGAAACCCUAGAUCAGUUGAUCGGAUGACGGCGACAUUCAUGUGUCGUUACCCCCUUGGGGGCGGCAUUCUUGGAGAUGCACUCGGGCUCGAGGGACCAGCGGAUGGCAUCUGCGGUGGAGCGGUGUUUCUUUCUACAUAUUCAUGGCGGCGGUUCUCAACGGCAUGGAGCAGUGGAGACUUGGCAUCAGAUGUGUGGCGAGGGACACGCGCAGGAGGUCGACGUUGUCUGGCGUCGUGGUGGCGUCGAUGGCAGAGUGGCCUGACAAGGUCGAUACGUCAGUACAUGCUUUGAGGAUGGAUCGAGGGAAGACGGAGGUGACGGCCCUUUGCAGCGUGUGCGUGUGGUACUCACUGAGAGUGCGCCGGACCGGAGUGUUACCCAGUCCCGCCUAUGUGGCUUGGAUGGGGCAUCCGGCGUUAGAUGUUAGGCCUUUGUGCGAUGUCUGUUUGGUAUUUGGCCCGGACAUUCGGCACACCUUCAUCAAGGGGAUAGGAGUAGCGACAAGUGUCGUCUAGAUGGUGGCCUCGGACUUACUGUUGUAUUACCUUAUAAGGGUUGUGUGAAUUAAUAAAUAAUAUGGGCGCAUGCAUCAUCCAGAUGCAGAGGCCGGGGGUGAUUCCUCCUUUUCUAAAAAAAAAAAACCCAACAACGACCAAUGGCAAACAAAAGGGGAACGAGGGCUUUGCUUGUGCGAAACGGGAGCAAACCUUCCUGAGGUUGACACGAUCCAGACGAGAGAGAGAGAGAGAGAGAGAAAUUCUGAAGGAAGUGCCUCGCUUAUGCAUCGCAUUACAGGGAUGUCUGUCUCCGAUCCCAGCGGCAGCGAGGACAGCGACCGGCGGCGCCUCGGGUCAACUCAUCGUCGUCGUGUUUCGUGUGCGUGGCCAGCACUGUACGUGUACCUACAUCUUGUAUUUCUUCAGAAAAUACUCCCUCCAUCUCAAAAUUCUUGUCUUAUAUUCGUCUAAAUACGGAUGUAUCAAGUCACGUUUUAGUAUUAGAUACAUCUGUAUCUAGACAAAUGUAAGAUAAAAAAUUAGAACCGAAGGAGUAGCAUGGAAAUAACAUGCAGGACGGCAACCUAUGAUCAUAAGGGUGGGUUCGUCGCGGCGUCGAAUGAACAGCUGGAGCAUGUCGCAGAUGCAGGGCCGGCGGAAGCAUAUGCAUUACGACAUGGCUUACUAUUGGCGCAGCAACUGGGGAUAAGCAAGCUUAUGGUUGAGUCGGACUGCCUCGAGGUAAUCAAUACUAUGAAUAAUGAAGGCUUCACGGCUUCAAGCACGGCGGCGAUUAAUUCAGAUUGUUUGGUCCUGAUCAUAGGAUACACUUCGGUCACUUUUGUCCAUUGCCCUAGAGAGGCAAAUUCUGUAUCUCACGAUUUAGCUAGGCUGGCGAGGCCGUCCCCUUCACUGUGGGUCGAGGAACCGCCGGCUUUCAUUGUAAAAGGUUUGGUGGACGAUGUAACAGUUAUAUGAUCCAAUAAAGUGACCAAAGUUUAAAAAAAAGCAUGCAUGACGGCAAAAUACCCAGCUCCUGUAGCGCACUGUUUCGGCACCGUCUCUCAGUCUCAGAGGUUGCCUCGUGAUACUCCUGCCUGUUGGCCGCAUGGAUUGAUGACGAUGAUGAUGCAGUGAUGCUGUGAUUUUCUGAAGAUUUGCAAGGUAUCGUAUCGAGACUGACUCAAAAAUGUCUGGCUGGCUCUUGGUCACGCCAUGAAAUACUACUUUCCCUUUAUGCAGAGCGAGCAUGGUCACGCCAUGAAACACAAUGCCAUAUGUUUCAAAUAUUUUUUGGAAACAUGUUUCACUUUAUUUCAGCGAGUUAUUUCCCUUUAUUUAAAGUUUAAGAUUAACAUGGGAUACAAACGCGUGGAGGUGGAUUCGACAGCCACACACGGGUUCCAGACAACACUUCCUUUAUGAUCCUCUCCCUUUCAUGGCUGAAAGAUGAACCCUUUCAGCCUCCAAAAAAAAACCUCCCGCAAAAAAGAUGAAGAAGAUGAACUCAAAGUCAGAUAUGGGCCCUCGCGUGACGAAUAAAGGCCCAAUUCGUCCUAAUAUCGAUCUCAGCCCAGUGUCGCUGCCUGGUUUAUGUGUCCGGUACUCCCAACGUGCUGGGCUAUAUUAAGCCUCGCUGGCUGGCAGUAGCUUUUCUUACGCGCCUGUUGUUACCGUUGCCAUGACGACAACCACCGUGACCUGCUACGCUUGGAGUUGCUCGACACACCAAUGGUGCGGGCAUCAUCACUGUAGGAACAAUGGGCGUGAACGGGAUCAUCGGAGGCGGCGAGCCAAGAACCAUCCCCGGCUGGACUUGGAUUACACCUGGAGCAGCGGCGGCGACCGGCACUGGUGGCACCAUGGCUGUAACCGCCGCUGCCGGCGUCAUGCUGCCGCCGACGGCGACGGACAUCGCGUGGACUUGACGCUGCAGUGACUUGAUGUACCGGAUGGUCAGGUCUAGCGUCGAGGCUUGGCUACACCGCUGAAAUAUGCCGGCGGUGGAUCAUGAUCAACAACUCGGUACGUACUCGUAUUUGCAUAUUUUUGUGCAAGUUCAUCAACUGAAUAUGAGGCAUGGCGACGUGAGUAUAGUACCUUGUCGUCGCAUCCUGGAACGAGAUGUUGCAGGGUCUUUAAGCUCUUAUUUAUCUUGGACCUUCGUCUCUGCGCAUAUAUACAUGCGUUUCUAUGUGUAAUCAAUAACCGGAUCAGAGUGUCACGAUGGAGCUAGUACCUUUUCUGUUUGGCUCUGUGUUCCUCCGCUGGCCGUCCUCCUUGCGGUGGAGUCGCUUGUUGUGUCCUGUGUCACACAACAGUUAUUUUUCAAAAUAAAGACAUAUUAUCUUCCAUAUUAAGAAGAGGACAUAUAAGUACCGUUGCCAUGUUAUGUUUCACUGUCUUCCCGCUCUUCUCCUUCAACAGCUUGUUCGAGCCCUCCGAUGUUAUCACCCAAUUAUCCGACCUCUGCUCGGCAACAUCGUCGUCGUCACCAACACGAUCUUGACCACCACCUGUGAUAAUCGGGUAGAGCCAUGUCGCCAUUUCGUCCUCGGAAGGUGGCACAUGCAACACCUCAGGCCUACGCAAACAUGAUGAGAUGGUGAUGCCUCCUCCUUUCCACGCCAACUCGUAGAGAUCCCCGCUGCAGAACAAGAUAUGUAUGCGGGCUAAUUUAAAUGAUAAAUAGGUACUCCACACUGCUGUAUUUAUUAACGAGCUGUCUAGGAGAAAUGCUAUGAUACCAUGCACCCACACUCAUGUCCAUCCCUCUGUAGUUUUUGCCUUGCAAGUUUCCAAAAUUUGUCCAAAAAAGCAUGGUGAUACAUAUGGGCAAAUAUAUAGUCACUUCCAGCAAAAUUAUAAAAAAUACGACCAUUUAAGCCCUGCAUAAAGAAUAUUUUUCUAAAAUAUCAGAAAAAAAUCACGGUGUUACACAGGGAAAGGGGCGAGCCCGCAAGUUAGGAAACCACAAAAGUUUGCAGACAAGUAUAUCCCGGACUACUCCUAUGACCGAUCUGUCACCCAUACAUGAAGGUCUUGGCCCCGUCCCGCGUGAUGUGGUACAUGCACAUCUUCCAAUAGAGCCGAUGCAAUACAUAUGGAAAUAUAUUUUUUCAUACGAUCCAGAUUGGAUCGAGUUCCACUAUCAUCAGAUAACGACCAAGUACCAGUGGACACAUGUGGUAAAGCAAUCCAAAUUAUUCAAAAUAAUAAUAAUUAUGAAACAAGUCACAAAGCACCGUAGGGUCUUGGCGCAAGAGAACACAAUAAAAAGGUAAACCACCAAGGAACGAAACACCCCCAUGUUACCACCGGAAAUGCUAAACCUACGAAGAGCGUAUGUAAGCUUACGAAACAUGCGCAAGUAAUCUAAGCACCCCCUGCCUAAUCUAAACACCCACCCCUACCUGGUCUGGCCUCGCUGAUCAUCCUCACUGCCUGGCGUCUUUGGAAGGCGUGGAACGCCUGCGUCUUCAAUGGCGUGACCCCCUCGACCUCCCUCCUCGUCAACGACAUCAAGGAAGAUAUGCCCGCGGCUGGGCUGCCGCCGGAGCCAAAAGGCUCAGCAACCUGCUCCCGCCGCCGUAGUAUUCGUCUGUGGGGACUUGCGCAUCCCCCCUUCCUUUGUAUGUGCCCUAGUAGCUCUCGCUUACGCCCUCUCGCGUGUGCUUGCGAGGCUACCUAUGUAAUCAUCACUUCUUUUUCUUCUAUCAAUGCAAUGAUACGCAAAACUUUCAUGUAUUCGCCAACAAAAGAUUUUCGGAGGUGAGCCCCACCCUCCCUUAAAAACCAAUCCUAAUCUUCCAUGUUGGCUGUUACGUAAACCUAAUUAGCUUUCUUACGUGAGUCUAGCGUUGCCCACGUUGCCACCCUACAGGAGAGGUGGCCAACCUGCCGCAUGCACCGCUACUGAAGUUUUAAUGGCCAUAGGACGCCACAAAGCUUGCAAGGGGCAAGGGAAAANNNNNNNNNNNNNNNNNNNNNNNNNNNNNNNNNNNNNNNNNNNNNNNNNNNNNNNNNNNNNNNNNNNNNNNNNNNNNNNNNNNNNNNNNNNNNNNNNNNNNNNNNNNNNNNNNNNNNNNNNNNNNNNNNNNNNNNNNNNNNNNNNNNNNNNNNNNNNNNNNNNNNNNNNNNNNNNNNNNNNNNNNNNNNNNNNNNNNNNNNNNNNNNNNNNNNNNNNNNNNNNNNNNNNNNNNNNNNNNNNNNNNNNNNNNNNNNNNNNNNNNNNNNNNNNNNNNNNNNNNNNNNNNNNNNNNNNNNNNNNNNNNNNNNNNNNNNNNNNNNNNNNNNNNNNNNNNNNNNNNNNNNNNNNNNNNNNNNNNNNNNNNNNNNNNNNNNNNNNNNNNNNNNNNNNNGGUUAGCUUGUAUGCAUGCACGUACUCCCUCCCGUUCGGAAUUAUUUGUCGCAGAAAUGGAUGUAUUUAGACAUAUUUUAGUUCUAGAUACAUUCAUAUCCGAGACAACUAAUUUUGAACGGAGGGAAUAUAAUUUAAGGAGCGAGCUAGCGUGUGUACUUGGAGUACGGGCAGUUGCCGGACUGCUCGAGGAAGUUGCCGACGCGGGAGGCGGAGACGAUGGCCUUGCCGCGGUAGUCGCCGGAGCAGGUUGUCAUCGAUGCCCGCCCGGCCGAGAGUACUGAUUGAUCACUUGCUGCUGGCUGCUUGGCCUUCUGGUAGGUUCCAAGAGGUAUACAAACGAUCUUUUGUACUGUCCAUAUAUAUAGGAGCACCUACCAUCUGCCCGGAACGUAACCCAUCUGUGCCAUUUUGCCUCAAAAGAAAGAAAAGCACAUGCAACUAUCCUACUAGCUUGUACGAGUAGCUCCAUUUUUAAUAAAAAAAAGGAAAAGUGUUCCUUCUCCGAUUCCUAUUGAUAGAAAACAAGGUACUCCCAAUAGUUGGAGUAUAGGGGGUAUAUCACUUGGCUAGACUCUCUCGGGCUAGAGCGUACAGAUGCAUGCAUCCAUGGGUAGGUUCCAGACGUUUCCAUCAUUCCUUGCCGACUUGCGCGUCUGCUCCAUCGGUAGUGGUUUCCCAUAUGCGCAUAUCACGUGAAACCACUCGUUCGGACGAUAAGCAUGCAUGGAACUGCGCGCUCUCACUGUGUAUGCUCUGCAUGGUACUUACGUGCGCCGCCGGUCUAUGCAUUCUUUGCAUGCCAGCGUUGCAUACUAGCUACCUUUUUGACUAAAGUACGUACCUAGUGCCCAGCCAUGUCAUCUACUUCUGAGAUGGCAAAAAUGUCCCACCUCCAAAAGUUUUCCAGUCUAGCUCUAACUUUGAUUCAAAGAUUUUUAUAGGAAUUUCAUAGGAUUGGAAUCCUAGGAGUUUUUUCUAUGUUGUUUGUUUGAUUAAGGUUGUUAGAAUCACGAUUCCGUUAUACGAUUCUACGACUAAACGAUCCAAACAGGCCCCUCCGAUUCUACAAUUUUGGUUCAUAGAAUCUACAUUUCUACGAUCCUGAUAGUGAAGAUUCUAUUAUUUGCGAUCCUACCAUCCGAGGUCCAAUCCGGUUCAAAAUCGUGAUUCUGACGACAAAUGAUUAUUCAUAGAAUUUAAUCCUAUAGAAAGUUUCCUAAGGAUAUUUUCUACUACCUUCCAUAAGCUUUCUAGCAUCCACUAAAACUUAUUUGAAAUAAUCAUUUGGGUUUUUUAUGAUGUAACCAAACAACCAAAAUCAUGUAGGGUUGAAAUGAAAAUAACAUUUAAAUCCUAUGUUUUUUCUAUCCCUGUGUUUUUAGAAUUUCGAGGUUUGGAAAGACCCCUAUUUGGGCAACACUACCUUUCUAAGUUCACUGGUGCAGGGAAGCCUAUGAGUGGCGUGUCGUCCACGCGUCACUAACAAGAAAAAACAUGCAGUUAGUAUCAUUCAUGUGGUAGGCGGCGUGCCCUCUGUACGCCACUAGUAACGCACAUACUAAGGGUUUCCUAUUGGGUUUCGGCUUUCCGUGUUUUUUCUUUCGUUUUUUCCUUUUUUUCUAUUUAUCCUUUCUCUUUUUCUCAACAUACAACUACAUUUUUAAUACACAUUGUAUAUUUUUCAUAUACAUGUUGAACAUUUUUUAAAUACAUUUUUUGAACUCUUUUCAGAUACAUGUUGAACAUAUUUUAGUGGCAUAAACAUUUUUGUAUAACUACAUAAACAUUAAAAAAUUUGUGUGUACAUAUUUUUGGAAUGCAUGAAUAUUUUUAAAUGUUACAUACAUUUCUUUCAAAUGGUACGAAAUAUAUUUUUUGAAGUAUGGAAAUAUUUCCUUAAUAUUGCAAUAACAUUUUCUAGAAAUGACACAAACAUAUUUUUAAAAUGCGUGUGUCGGGGGUUGGGUGCGACAUAUGCCAAAGGAUGGCUUAUCAUGGUGGGGGCGAGUAGAACAUCGCCGGUGCCUGAAAACGGGAUAAGGCGAAGGCAUGCACGCCGGCGAAUCUUACCCAGCUUCGGGGCUCUCCGGGGAGAUAAUACCCCUACUGCUGCUCUGCGGGGUCUCCGCAUGAUCACUGUGGCAAAGCGUUUACACGGUUGCUCCUCGAGCUGUUUCCUGGAGGUAGGAGAAGGCAAGGCUAGCUCUCUCCUUCCUAUAUGAUUUGGUCUAGUGCUAAUGGAUUCCAACCCUUUGCAUGGAUGCCCUGGGGGUUUAUAUAGGCCUACCCCCCCCCAGGGGUACAAUGGUAAUCCGGCUGGGUGCGGGCCCAGCCAUCAGUCUCUCUGGCCGCCGUCUUAUCCGCCGACUCCUGGGGCCCGCCGACUGGUGGGCCCUGCCGACUGGCUCGGUACGGAGCCGAUAGGCCGCGUCCGCCGUGGGCGGGUCUUGCCAGUUGCAGAUUACUGUAGUCGUGUCUCUAAUGAUGCAGGAUCGGUCAUGAGGUCGUGGCGACAGCUUCGCUGUCUGGCGGGCGAUUACUGUGGCCACUACCUGUCAGACUGAUUAAUGGUGCGUGGGGCCCGUGGGAGGGGCCGACCGACUCCUGGUGGCCGACUCCCAUCCGGGCCGACUGGUGGCGCUCUCGCCGUCUUUCGUACGCCCACCGACUGGUGGGACCCAUCAUCCCUGGGUCGUACCGGCAGGCCGUCGUGGGCACAGGACUCCACCCUCUGGGGCUGACGUCAGGGCCGGCAUGGCAAUAGUGUCGCGCCGCGCGGAGAUCUCUGCGGGUACGGCGUACUGUAGCCACGCCUGCCCUUGGAAAAGGGGUGGGAGUGGACCUUACUAUGGCCACUCCCCGUCCCGUCCCUCUUUAUGAGGGCAUGGGGGUUGUUGGCGUCGCGGGCCGACUCCCCAAGGUCGGCUUCUCUGGAAGUCGCCAGUCAGGAGUCGGCUUAUCCUGAAGUCGUCCCUGCCACUCGGCCGCGAGUGGGCAGUCGGCCGCCUCGCUGCCGACUCUCAGAAGGCGGCUCUUCGUCCUGGGGUCUCGAGGGGCGCAGUCUGCCUCAAUGUCUUGAAAUGUUCUGGGCCUGGGUUAGCCUACCCGUGGUCCAUUACUCCGAUAGUAGUCCCCGAAGCUGGUGAGGCUCCGAGGGCGACAUGUCAAGGAGCCUCAACAGUUUCUUCUCUCCGGUGGUUGGAUCUGGGCCUCUCUAGCCGUCCUCUAUCAAGCCGACUAGUUGGAGUCGGACUUGCUCAAGGCCGACUUGCCCCUAGAAAAGUUUGAACGUCGCGGCGAAGUUCAGGCGGUGUGCCUGCUAAGCUUCCGGGUCGCCUCCCAUGGUGGACCCGUCGCGAGGCGCCACGUGGCUGAGCUAGUCUGCUCACCCACGCGCGCGACGGGACAGGCCUAUAGGCGGGGCCCGCCACUACCGCGCCUCGGCAUGCGAACGGAUCCGUUGUGGCCGCGCGGGCGGUUGGGGUUCCCGCGCGGUUAUUGCACGUGGUAACUUCGUGUGGUAAAUCGUGGGGGUUGUGGGGUCCCGGGCGCAGUUAAUCCCAUGACCGCCCCCUCGGCUUCUCAGCCCACGAGCCUACAAGUAGGCGGGGGGAGGGGGCGGCAAAGCACGCGCGCCCAUUCUCCCCACUCCCUUUCGCUCCUUCUUGCUUCUUCUUCCUCUUGUCGUUGCUGCUCCGAAUCACGCCGAGCCCACAGCGAUGAGCUCUUCCUCCGCCGCCGCGCCUCCUGCUGUACGCUCCAGAGUGUGGGAUGGCUCCGAGGUUUACGACGACGACAUCGAGAUCUUCCGCCAGACAUGGCGGCUGCCCGGCAGGGUGCGGGUCCGCCUCGCGCCGGAGGGAGAAAUAUCGCCGGCGUCGGAGGAGGGCGAGCGGGUCAUAUUCCGCUCGCACCUUAUGUGCGGCCUGGGGCUGCCGGCGAGUGGCUUUUUCCGCUCCUUCUUGGAGUUCCACGGGCUCCAGCCGCACCACCUUACUCCGAACACGGUGGUGCUGCUGGCUGCCUUCGCCGCCCUGUGCGAAGGCUUCCUCGGUGUUUUCCCCACCAUCGAGCUCUGGGGUGAGUUCUUCCAGUCCAAGCUCGGCACACACGUCGCUGGCGUGCCGACCCAGUGCGGUGCAUUCAUCGCGAUGCGGAGUUCAGUGGCCGACAAUCCGUUUCCCACCAUCGCACUGAUUAAGCAUGCAUGAAACUACGCGCUCUCACUGUGUAUGCUCUGCAUGGUACUUAUGUGCGCCGCCGUUCUAUGCAUUCUUUGCAUGCCAGCGUUGCAUACUAGCUACCUUUUUGACUAAAGAACGUACCUAGUGCCCAGCCAUGUCAUCUACUUCUGAGAUGGCAAAAAUGUCCCACCUCCAAAAGUUUUCUAGCCUAGCUCUAACUUUGAUUCAAAGAUUUUUAUAGGAAUUUCAUAGGAUUGGAAUCCCAGGAGUUUUUUCUAUGUUGUUUGUUUGAUCAAGGUUGUUAGAAUCACGAUUCCGUUAUACGAUUCUACAACUUUACGACCCAACUGGCCCCUCUGAUUCUACAAUUUUGGUUCAUAGAAUCUACAUUUCUACGAUCUUGAUAGUGAAGAUUCUAUUAUUUGCGAUCCUAUCAUCGGAGCUCCGAUCCAAUUCAAAAUCGCGAUUCUGACAACAAAUGAUUAUUCAUAGAAUUUGAUCCUAUAGAAAGUUUCCUAAGGAUAUUUUUUACUACCUCCCAUAGGCUUUCUAGCAUCCACUAAAACUUAUUUUAAAUAAUCAUUUGCAUUUUUUAUGAUGUAACCAAACAACCAAAAUCCUGUAGGGUUGAAAUGAAAAUGACAUUUAAAUCCUAUGGUUUUUCUAUCCCUGUGUUUUUAGAAUUUCGAGGUUCAAAAAGACCCCUACUUGGGCAACACUACCUUUCUAAGUUCACCGGUGCAGGGAAGCCAAUGAGUGGCAUGUCGUCCACGCGUCACUAACAAGAAAAAAAAUACAGUUAGUAUCAUUCAUGUGGUAGGCGGCGUGCCCUCUGUACGCCACUAGUAAUGCACAUACUAAGGGUUUCCUAUUGGGUUUCGGCUUUCUGUGUUUCUUCUUUCGUUUUUUUCCUUUUUUUCUCUCUUUAUCCUUUCUCUUUUUUGCAACAUACAUCUACUUUUUUCAAUACACAUUGUGUCGUGGAAUUAUCACGGCAGAUGUCCUAGCAGAAGGACUUAGCCGUAGGGCCAUCGCAACUAGGAAGCUUAAAGGGGUUAAUCGGGACAAGGGACACGAGAGGUUUAUACUAGUUCGGCCCCUUACGAUGAAGGUAAAAGCCUACAUCUAGUUGUGUUGGCAUUGCUGGGGUUUUGAUCACCAAGAGGCUAAUCCGCCGGCUUGGUUAUCGAUCUCUUGUUUUCUUGCCCUAAGCCGCCUCCGGAUCGUCCCCUUAUAUACACGGGUUGACGCCUGGCGGCCUACGGAGUCCCGACCGGCUCAUAAAGCAUGUCCGGCUUGGUGACUUCUUUUAUAUGCCUUUCUUUACAAGUUUUUCCUUACAUACGGCGGUUUACAAUAUUGGGCCUUAAGCCGCCUCUGGGCUUAGGCCUUCUAUAAGCCUUAAUAAACUAUCGUCUUGAAUGUUUACUGGGCUUCCUUUGUGACCCGCCAUUGGGGCUGACCCGGCCCCUCCUGAGCGGGUCAUACCUGAUAGCUAUAUCCCCAACAUUAGGCCCCAGGUUGACUUUGAACUUUGUUCUUUGUCAAUCUUCAAUACUUAGACAAAAUCCAUCUUCCUUUCUUCGCAGAAAUUUUUUGUAACCCGCCAUGACGUCAUUUCUUGAAAACACGAAAAACUAUUAUGACGUCAUCUCUCAACGGAUCUUUAUUCUUUAAUGAAUUUCGAGUAUCGAGGCGUCCGUUUAGUUGGAUAAUCAUUAUUCGGGUCUUCCUCGAUUUUCGCGCCCGCCUGUUCGCUUAUCCCCUUAUAAAUAGGCACGCCCGGUCUUUCUCAUUCUUCUCUCUUCUUCGUCUUCUUCCUCACGCAACCCCCGCUGCUGCUCGAGCUCCGCCGCCGUCAGAGAGCACCUCUCCUCCGUCGACUUUGGCCCCUGCAUCGACCCGAAUCAGUCCAGAGAACGGCGGUGACUCUCCGUGGAAGAUCUGUGGCUGUAAGCGUUUCCCUUCUUGCUCCUUAGAUCUGCAUUAGGGCUUUCUAGGUUUUUGCAUGUUCUUCGUAGUUCAUCGCAGUUUCUUCAUAGUUCUUCCACUGCAGCCUCUUCUUGAUCUAGAAAGAGAUAUAUGUUUGUGCGGUAGUUGUUUUGUGCCUACUCUUGAUACUACUAGAUCCCUUUUCCCAGUAUAAAGGCCUCAUUAGGACUCACAAACUCAUCUGCGCUGAACUUUUAGGUCUAGAAUUUUUUUUCCAUUUUGAAUAGCCAUUUGAUCUGGAAUAAUAUCAAGCAAUUAGGAAACUUGUUUGUCUCAACACUUUGCCGAAUCUGCUUUCUCAAAUAUCUGUAGUCAUGGCGGCUUGUUGCGCCAACUUACUUUUCCUUAUAUGACAUUAGCCCUUACUUAAGCCGCCAUUACUCCCCUGUACCAUCAUCACUUAAUUUCACCAUUAUCAUUGAAUUGAACCGGCAUGUUGCUUUAUUUUUAGUUCGUCUUUUGAACAUCAUGCCGUCCAAAGCACCGACUGUCUGCAACUGGGUUCCCUCAACAGUGACUGAGGAUAAUUUGAAGGACUUCUUCUCCAUAGGAUUUUUGCCAGGGAAGAAUGUUAUGUCUUACCGUGCACCUCACCCGGACGAGGAAUGGCCCAAUCCAAAAGAUGCUGAAGUCAUUAUCUUUUCUCACCACAUGAACUGUGGCUUUUCACCGCCCGGCUCAAAGUUCUUCAGAGAUGUCCUCCAUUUUUUCAAACUCCACCCUCAAGAUCUCGGGCCCAACUCCAUAUCCAAUAUCUACAAUUUCCAAGUUCUCUGUGAGGUGUACCUUCAAGAAGAACCGACUGUGGAACUCUUUAGAGAGUAUUUUUAUCUGAACCGCCAGAACGAGUGUACCAAUGGCCCUAGCUUGGAACUUGGAGGCAUCUCAAUUCUGCGUCGACAGGGCGCCGUCUUCCCUCUAAUAGUCUUGCCGAGUCAUCCCAAAGACUGGAAUCAGGCUUGGUUCUAUUGUCAAGACACUUCACCAGCAAAUGAGAAGCCACUGUCGGGUUAUCGCGCAGAGCGACUUGACUCCAAGUUUGCGCUCCCUGACAAACUCACUGCCGCCGAACGCAAGAAGCUUAUGCCAUCAAUCAAAAGGAUUAACGCCUUAUUGGGGAACGGCUUAACUGGAGUUGACUUGACCCAUUGAUAGGUCUCAUGGCGGGUCAUCCCUCUAAGCCGUCGAUCCAAAUUGAUGUAUGAAUAUGGUGGUGGCCCAAAUGACUCUCUUCAUCAUAGCUCCGUUCAACUUACUGAAGAAGAUAUUGUUUCAAUGUCAACUCUUCUAGUGAACGGCAAGUAUGAAGACUGCAGUAAAGUCGGGUUAAACCCGUUCUGCAAACUUAACCCGGCGCCAGAGGUAAAGGACCUCUGACCUCUUUCUCUUUGUAUUUUUCUCAGCCGUUUUAAAUACCUGCAUGACCUUUCAUCUUGUUUAUUUGUUUACAUGCCAAAUCUGAUUUCUGGAAAGCCAAGUAUGACCACAAAGCCGCCAAUAAGGCUAGAGCCGCCGCCAUGACCGCCAAGAAGACGACCCAGAGGUCUAAGAAGAAUAAGAAGGCCACCGUUGAGGACCUCUUAAAGCUUGACGACGAUACUUCUGAGUCGGAGGUAGCCCUUGACUCCCUUGGCCAGUUUUUUAAUAACCUUAUUGACACUGAUUAUUGCCAGGACGACACAGGGGCCAGUCAGGCCGGAGAAGAAGAGGUAAUUACUUCCUCCGACUCAGACCAUUUGCCGAGACAGAAACUUCGACUGGUAACCUGGAAAGUAAGGUUUUCGCACCCUUUGGCUUAUUUGGACCCUCAUUUUCUUUUGAAAAAGCAGCAACACGAGAGCCGUCGUCAAGCCCAGAACGAUGAUGAGCCGCCUCCUGUUGUACAACAAACUCCUAAAAACGCCAAAAUGAGGUCUCUUUUAUAUUCCUCUUCGGCUUUCAUUAAUGAAUAUAUUCUCUUGUGCUACUGACGUUAUUUGCCCUUUGAAGGAGGUUUCUCGCUCUUCUGGCGACUCCUCUCAGACACAAUUUCCGGCCUUCAAAACUGCCCAUGGGUAAGGAAACAAUCAUCUUUCCUCCGUGUUUCUCAAACUGCAACUUUAUAUUGACAGUCUCAUAACAUCUUUCUUAGUGGCCAAGCUAAGUCCAAGAAGGCCAAGGUGACUAAGCCGGCGGAAGACUCGUCAGUCCUUGCGCCUGAACCGGCCAUGCCACCUUCUCCCCCUCAAACUGAAGCACCAGAAGACCCGGCUGCCAAUGCUCAAUUAGAUCGUCCUGAGCCGUCAGCUGACGAUACCAUCGUUAACCCCUCUACUACCGGACCGUCCAGCUCGGCCAACCCGCCAUCAUCGUCUUCCCAUGACGUUCUGAUUACUGGAAGCCGUUUUGUUGAGCCGGGGACUCCCACCGUGUUGGCUCGUCACACCGCUAAACAAGAGGCCUUGGAGAGACAAAAAGUGCGUUUUGAUGUUUCUCACUACAACCAUCUGAACGCCAAUGACAUAUUGUCUGGCUAUCUCAGCCAUGUGCACUCCAGCCGUGACUCGAAAGUCGAGAUGGUGAAGCAAUUGCAGCUGAAGUAUGAGGUAUGCUCUUCCGGCUUACUUAUAUUCUGCCAGCCCCCAAGUCUUUAGAUUAUGAUAAAACCUGAAUGAUCUGUAGACUUAUGAUAUAGGCUAAAGCUUUACCCUUAGAUUUUUCUAAAGUCCAACAGAAUAGUAUAAACUUCACUUAUAGUCCCCAAGGGCCGGCUCGAUGGAUCAAAAUGAACCGGUACUUAACUUCAGAAUUGUCACUACAAGAAAUAUGUCAACUUGUGACCACCACUAUUGGUCACUGAAAGGUCAUUGUUUUUCAUUUGUGACCUUUUUUUGACCAAAAACAGAAGGUCAAAAGCUGGCGAUCGUAAACUGAAAUUAACGACCUUCUCUGUGAUAUGUAAAAGGUCGUUGGUUCUUUGACCAAAAUUUUGGUCACUAGCAACCUCCCCAGGCCACGUAGGAAUCCAGCGUGGCAAGCUGACAUGGAUAAGAAUCAGUCCAGUCCAAUUCGGUGUUUUACAUGGGCCGAGCCCAUUAAUUCAGCAUUUUUAAUAUUUAUUUUUCCUGUUAAUUUUCGCUAGCUAUAUGGGCUUGGGCCAUUGAUUCGGCCUUUUUUUCUAAGAUGCAGCCUAGACCAACAAUUCAGCCUUUUUAGUUUUGGGUUGCGGCCUUUUUCCUUUUUUGCAAAUGGGUCCCAAUUGUCAGGUUCUAAAUGGGCCCCAAAUGUUUGAUUCUAGUUUGUGGGUCCUUGUUGUCAUGGUCAUGUUCCUCAGAUUUCAAUAUGCCAGUAAUUAAACCAGUAUUUAAAUCAAAAUAGACAGAAAACAGAUGUAAUACUUCAAAUAACAAGAAGCAAUAUGUUACAUCAUCUAACACACAUACAAAUGUGAUCACACAUACAAAUGCGAUCACAGUAUAAUAAGCUCUACAAGUGGAUCACAUGAGCCAAGUUCGUGCUUCAGUUUGUUCCAACAGAUCAGCAUCAAGGGCUUCAUUACUCCUUGAACUAGCUCCAAUGAGCUAGAACUAUGCUUCUUCCGACUUCUUCGUCUUGUUGCUCGCGACAAAACAUGAAAGGCCAGCAUGUGCAUGUUAUAGAACAAAAUGGUUAGAAACAAAAUAAAAGCAAAUCUAACAGCAGAUACAAAAAUAAUGAAGGCCAUUCUGUGUGCAUAUAUACCAGCAGAACACAUAAACCCAUCCAUAAAAAUCUUGUUUUUGAACAUUGGCAUCAAAUCAACACAAACACUGAAUUAACAUGCACGAAAGGAAAGAGCUAAUACAAGGCAGGUAUAUGGGUAUCAAAACUAACAAGAAAGGAACAACAAUCUAUUUUAAGUAUUUCAGGUUUGAGGCAUUUUCGAUACUACAAUCAAUAUAUAACAGCCAACAUUUCAAUCCAUGGACACCACAUGACAGAAAAGGUACUAAGGCACUUGCUACAUAAAACCAAAGCAAGGUACAUAGCACAUGCAUGCCAACAAUAAAUUGGUACCAAAUCCAGAAAUCAUCGUCUGAAAUGAAGUUAAUGAGAAAUUUUAGAAUCAAUUUAACAGUUGAUAGUAAUGUUUGCAUUGGACACAUCCAGAACUAAAAUUAUACAUACACGCCGAAAUUCCGAUGGCCAAUGCCUCAAUAUAGUAAACACUAAGCAUGGGACAUAGUAAAGAUUUGACACAACCAGAACUGAAAGCAUUCACUCCAUCAAGCAUAUCUACAAUGCAGCACACAAGAAAAGAGAGAUAUGCAACGGGGUAGCAAUGACAUACAGAUAAUCACUUAACAAGCAGCACGAACAUGAAUAAAUCACAUAACUAAGUACAACCAAGUAUCCCAGCUGAGAGCAAACAUGUAUUCAACAUUUCUGCCAUUUCGAUACAUGCACGACAAAGAGUGGCGCUCAUUUCUUACCACGGCAAAAGGAAGAGAUGACCCCAGACAAUGCCCUACUUCUCCAGGUCGCACUCAAGGCUCAACCAACUCCCCGGGGUACAACCAAGUAUCCCAGCUGAGAGCAAACAUGUAUUCAACAUUUCUGCCAUUUUGAUACAUGCACGACAAAGAGUGGCGCUCAUUUCUUACCACGGCAAAAGGAAGAGAUGACCCCAGACAAUGCCCUACUUCUCCAGGUCGCACUCAAGGCUCAACCAACUCCACGGUGUGGACGAUGACCCCUCCUUGCUCCGUCCGGACGGCGGGGUGCAAACUCGGAAGCCCUGCACAUUACAACUUGCAUCAAUGCAGCAGCCAUACAAGGAACUGAUAUCAAGCAGAGCACAAAUUGAGAGAAAGUUACUGUCCAGGAG